UUUGAGGGUCAAAAUAAAACUUUCCUUAUAACCCGCUUUAGCUAUACCCUGGUUUCGCAUUCUGCGCGUUAGAAUUUGGAUCUGUCUCGAUCACUUCCCUCCCUCUCUGGAAUCUUCUCUUGCCUAUUUAACAAGGCCAUAUCGAUCUUCCGGAACUGAUCAACGAUGGACGUGGAGGACGGUUUCGAGUUCGCCGAUCACUCUCCUCCGUCAUUUCAGAACGUGUUGUUGCUUGAUAAUUGGUAUUGCCGUGUUUGUGCGUGUUCGUAUUGAUGUGUGGCACAGCAAGUAAUUAGACUACUUCUGGGCGUCCCCUUUAUCUGCAAAGGUGUUUUUCAUUGUUUCUGGACAUGCCACUCAGGUGCUAUGAUCUAUUGAUGAAGCAGCAAGUUUUUCAAUUUCUUUAUCAGUGGAGUUCCAAUGUUUAUAAAUUUACAAUAGAAUGGGAUCUUACAAUUUUAUAUGUUGGGUACCUGCACAAUGUUGCAAGUAUUACGAAAGGUACUAAAUUAUACUUUAUAAGAUAAAAUUAAGAGGUUUUAACAGUUAAUGCGGAGACUCGGGAAUUAUAAUGGUUGUGCAGGUUAGGAGACUACUAAUGCCCUCCUUUGAGGUCAAGUCAUGGGAAGACAAUCAAGCAUUCUUAUCAUGCUUGUCUAUUUAUGAUCAGCUGAGUUAUUCUGUUUCCCUUGUUAUUUUUUCUACUGGCUAUUUUAGAAUUGUGACAAAGAAAAUUUUUAGAAGAUCAUUGGUGAAAAGAUGUUGAAAGCAUCAUUUUUCCCGUGAUCUUGGUCUUACCUAUGAAACUUUUCUUUGAAUGUCUAUCAACUCUGGAAUUACAUUAUUAACCAACCAGAGCUUUUGAGUUUUGAAUGUCUAUACAAGCAUGCCUAAACUCUCUAAAGGCUGGCCUAUGUUUGUUUAUAUCAAGGGCAAUUGUUUAAUGGAACUAACAUUAUAACUCAAUUGCUUAGGAAGGCCAUAAACUCUGCCAGUGGUGGACAUCAGGAUUAAUUAUGUAUACAAAACAUGACAAAAUUAAUUUUCUUGAACGGCAAAAGCAAAUAUGAUAUAUAAGUUACCCGUUCAAAUUGGAUGAGGCCUGAAUAAGUUAAUUUGUAGGUUGUGUUUAUCCUUGCUUUUUUUUCUUUUUUGGGUUUUCUUUCGGAGCUUAUGAAGUAUAAUUUAAAUUUCAUCGUUAACAGGGGAAUGUGGUCAAGGAUAUUGAGGCUAAAGGAUUCAACCCAGGAUUGAUAGUGCUGCUGCUUGUUGGCGGGCUAGUUCUAACAUUCCUAAUUGGAAAUUAUGCACUCUACGUGUAUGCGCAGAAGACACUUCCUCCCAAAAAGAAGAAGCCAAUCUCCAAGAAGAAAAUGAAGAGAGAGAGACUGAAGCAUGGCGUCUCUGCACCCGGAGAGUGAAAUUUGAGAUGUGUUUGCUAUUCAUUACCCUUGUUAAACUCGUGUUCAAAAUUUUCCCGUCUUUCGCGUCAAUAUUUCGCGUCAAGAGAGCCAUGUUAAUUUUUUUUUUUUUUUAUAACGAUUAUGUUAUUUAUUUCACCUUUUAGCUAUUAUACUUGAUAGAAAAUUUUACCAGUUAGAGUUCA